rnacentral:rRNA from 1 species
UGGGGAAUUUUGGACAAUGGGCGAAAGCCUGAUCCAGCAAUGCCGCGUGUGUGAAGAAGGCCUUCGGGUUGUAAAGCACUUUUGUCCGGAAAGAAAUCCUCUGGGUUAAUACCUCGGGGGGAUGACGGUACUGGAAGAAUAAGCACCGGCUAACUACGUGCCAGCAGCCGCGGUAAUACGUAGGGUGCAAGCGUUAAUCGGAAUUACUGGGCGUAAAGCGUGCGCAGGCGGUUUUGUAAGACGGAUGUGAAAUCCCCGGGCUUAACCUGGGAACUGCAUUCGUGACUGCAAGGCUAGAGUAUGGCAGAGGGGGGUUAGAAUUCCACGUGUAGCAGUGAAAUGCGUAGAGAUGUGGAGGAAUACCGAUGGCGAAGGCAGCCCCCUGGGCCAAUACUGACGCUCAUGCACGAAAGCGUGGGGAGCAAACAGGAUUAGAUACCCUGGUAGUCCACGCCCUAAAACGAUGUCAACUAGUUGUUGGGGAUUCAUUUCCUUAGUAACGUAGCUAACGCGUGAAGUUGACCGCCUGGGGAGUACGGUCGCAAGAUUAAAACUCAAAUGAAUUGACGGGGUCAUAGCUGUUU